GUAGGUGGCAAGCGUUGUCCGGAAUUAUUGGGCGUAAAGCGCGCGCAGGCGGUCCUUUAAGUCUGAUGUGAAAGCCCACGGGCUCAACCGUGGAGGGUCAUUGGAAACUGGGGGACUUGAGUACAGAAGAGGAAAGCGGAAUUCCAAGUGUAGCGGUGAAAUGCGUAGAGAUUUGGAGGAGCACCAGUGGCGAAGGCGGCUUUCUGGUCUGUAACUGACGCUGAGGCGCGAAAGCGUGGGGAGCAAACAGGAUUAGAUACCCUGGUAGUCCACGCCGUAAACGAUGAGUGCUAAGUGUUAGGGGGUUUCCGCCCCUUAGUGCUGCAGCUAACGCAUUAAGCACUCCGCCUGGGGAGUACGGCCGCAAAGGCUG
rnacentral:rRNA from 1 species